UGAUAACACGUUAAGGUGUAUACAUGGGCAU
rnacentral:piRNA from 1 species